AUGGUGAGAAACGUUUGGCUCUUCCACACGCCUCGCUGCCUUUGAUCUCUCAUCCAGAAGCCUAGGAACCAAUGGAUAAUCACCUCCAUCACCAGCCUUUGUGGGACACCUAAUUAGGCCAGGCAGACUACUGGCCGAACCCGUAGAACAGUCCUAUAACACAAGUUCUGUUUCCACCUCCCAAGUUCAGAAAUGAGAAAAUUGGAGCUGGAGGGACAGGAGCCCUCAGACCAAGGUUACAGGACUGCAGCCCACACAGGCUGACCCCACAACACGAGCCUUUCCCAACAUGACACGGAGGUCUCAGGACACGCGGACUUGGUAAUCACCUGCGGAGACUGAUGCCCAGACACCAGGUGAAGGGACAGGCACCCAGUGCCACCCCUGUGCCCACCUGCCAUAUGUGACAUCAGCUGAAUGUGGAGGACUCGGAGAACCCUUCAGACGAUUUGGCCAGAAGACCUCUUUCUGAGGGAAGCAAGCUCAGUCCCUCAUGAGCUGGGGCCCCACCCAGGGCAGUUUAUCCAGGAUGCAUAACAAAGGCAACCAACAGGGUGGCUUGAAGCAACAGACCUUUAUUCUCUUACUGGAGGCUGGAAGUCUACAAUCUCCAGGAACAAGGCUCUGCCCUGGGUCCUUGAGGGAUCCUGCCAUGCUGCUUCCCCAUCCCUGAUGACUCUUGGGCAACCUCAGUCCUCCGUGCUCUGCCUUGGUCAUGGCUCAGCCUCUUCCUGGGCGUCCCUGGCUCCGUGUCCCUUCUCUUCUUGGAUGCGUGAGUUCUAUUAGACAUUGGGCCCAACCUUCUUCAUAAUACACGGCCUCAGCUUCAUGAAGUCUAUCUCAGAGACCCUGUCUCCAAACACCAUCACAUGCUGAGUCCCCAGGACAUGAACGAGGGAGCACUGUGGGACCCAGGAAAAUAUGAGGGCCAAUAAAAAAAGAUGGUGUGUUUAAAUAAAA